rnacentral:rRNA from 1 species
UACGCAGGGUCCGAGCGUUGUCCGGAGUUACUGGGCGUAAAGGGCGCGCAGGUGGCGGUGUUGGCCCGGCGUGAAAGCCCCCGGCUCAACCGGGGAGGGUCGUCGGGGACCGCACCGCUUGAGGGCGGUAGGGGCUGGUGGAAUGCCUGGUGUAAUGGUGAAAUGCGUAGAGAUCAGGCGGAACACCCGUAGCGAAGGCGGCCAGCUGGGCCGUCCCUGACACUGAGGCGCGAAGGCGUGGGGAGCGAACGGG